rnacentral:rRNA from 1 species
AGGGUUCGAUUCUGGCUCAGGAUGAACGCUAGCUACAGGCUUAACACAUGCAAGUCGAGGGGCAGCAUGAUCGAAGCUUGCUUGAUGAUGGCGACCGGCGCACGGGUGAGUAACGCGUAUCCAACCUUCCCUAUAGUAGAGAAUAGCCCGGCGAAAGUCGGAUUAAUGCUCUAUGUUGUAUUUAGAAGACAUCUGAAGAAUACCAAAGGUUUACCGCUAUAGGAUGGGGAUGCGUCUGAUUAGGUUGUUGGCGGGGUAACGGCCCACCAAGCCCACGAUCAGUAGGGGUUCUGAGAGGAAGGUCCCCCACAUUGGAACUGAGACACGGUCCAAACUCCUACGGGAGGCAGCAGUGAGGAAUAUUGGUCAAUGGACGGAAGUCUGAACCAGCCAAGUAAGCGUGCAGGAUGACGGCCCUAUGGGUUGUAAACUGCUUUUAUAUAGGGAUAAAGUCGGGGACGUGUCCCCGUUUGUAGGUACUAUAUGAAUAAGGACCGGCUAAUUCCGUGCCAGCAGCCGC